GCCCAUGAGGAUAUAAUCCAUGUAUUUGAGUUGUAGUGGAGCCAAGUCCCUGUUUUUACAGGAUGAACCUACUUGGCUAAGCUAUAUGCAUAAGAUAUUUUCGGAUUUUCUGAGGC